GUUUGACCUCGGAUCAGGUAGGAAUACCCGCUGAACUUAAGCAUAUCAAUAAGCGGAGG
rnacentral:rRNA from 1 species